rnacentral:rRNA from 1 species
GGUGAAGGUAGAAAGGGCGCACGGGGGAUGCCUAGGCGCCAGGAGCCGAAGAAGGACGGGGCGAACACCGAAAUGCCACGGGGAGCUGUAAGCGAGCCUUGAUCCGUGGAUGUCCGAAUGGGGGAACCCCCUGGUCGUGAUGGGCCAGGACUGCAGGCUGAAUCCAUAGGUCUGUAGAGGCAACCGGGAGAACUGAAACAUCUCAGUACCCCGAGGAAGAGAAAACAAGAGUGAUUCCGUCAGUAGUGGCGAGCGAAAGCGGAAGAGCCUAAACCGGAUACGCGGGAAACCUUGCAGGGGAUGCGUAGACGGGGUAGCGGGGCAAGCGAAGAACGGGCUGCAACCGGUUCACAGAGUGAGAAAACGAUGUUCGUAGAGGAAAGGUCUGGGAAGGCCUGUCGAAGAGGGUGAGAGCCCCGUACUCGAAACGGACGCGACUUUGUCGCAUGACCCCAAGUACCGCGGGACACGAGAAACCCCGUGGGAAUCUGGGAGGACCACCUCCUAAGGCUAAAUACUCCCUGGCGACCGAUAGUGAUGAGUACCGUGAGGGAAAGGUGAAAAGCACCGCGGGAGCGGAGUGAAAGAGAACCUGAAACCGUGUGCCUACAAUCAGUCGAAGCAUCCAUAGAGGUGUGACGGCGUGCCUUUUGUAGAAUGAACCGGCGAGUGAGGGCGGCGAGCAAGGUUAAGGUGAGAAGCCGGAGCCGAAGCGAAAGCGAGUCUGAAAAGGGCGAUAAGUUGGCAGUCCUCGACCCGAAACCGGGUGAUCUACCCCUGGUCAGGGUGAAGUGCGGGUAACACCGCAUGGAGGCCCGAACCCACUGGCGUUGAAAAGCCAGGGGAUGAACUGGGGGUAGGGGAGAAAUUCCAAUCGAACUCGGAGAUAGCUGGUUCUCCCCGAAAUAGCUUUAGGGCUAGCGUCCGGGGAUGAGUUGCGGAGGUAGAGCACUGAUUGGGUGCGGGGCCCGUCCAGGGUUACCAAGCUCAGUCAAACUCCGAAUGCCGCAAUAUUAACCCGGGCAGUCAGACUACGAAUGCUAAGAUCCGUGGUCAAAAGGGAAACAGCCCAGACCAACAGCUAAGGUCCCAAAGUACCAGUUCAGUGGGAAACGAUGUGGCGGUGCACAGACAACCAGGAUGUUGGCUUAGAAGCAGCCACCAUUGAAAGAGUGCGUAAUAGCUCACUGGUCGAGUGACGCUGCGCGGAAAAUGUAACGGGGCUAAACUGGACACCGAAGCUUUGGAUGCACAGAGAUGUGCGUGGUAGGGGAGCGUUCCAUGAGCGGCGAAGUUGAGCUGAGAGGCUUGGUGGAGGUCAUGGAAGUGAGAAUGCCGGUAUAAGUAGCGAAAAGACAAGUGAGAAUCUUGUCCGCCGAAAGCCCAAGGGUUCCUGGGGAAGGAUCGUCCGCCCAGGGUUAGUCGGGACCUAAGGCGAGGCCGAAAGGCGUAGUCGAAGGACAACUGGUGGAAAUUCCAGUACCACUCCAGACUGUUUGAGCGAAGGGGUGACGCAGGAGGUCCAGGGAAGCGGCCGGAUGGAAGAGGCCGUCCAAGCAGCAAGAGGGGAAUCGAGGCAAAUCCCGGUUCUGGUAACUUCAAGCUGUGAUGGGGAGGGAAGAACAGUACCGAAGUCCUGAGGAUCACACUGCCGAGAAAAGCCUCUAGUGAGGAAAGGAGUGCCCGUACCGAAAACCGACACAGGUGGGCGCGUGGAGAACACGAAGGCGCGCGGGAAAACUCUCGUUAAGGAACUCGGCAAAAUGGCCCCGUAACUUCGGGAGAAGGGGCGCUCAUCGAGAGAUGAGCCGCAGUGAAAAGGCCCAAGCGACUGUUUAUCAAAAACACAGGUCUCUGCCAAGCCGAAAGGCGAAGUAUAGGGGCUGACGCCUGCCCGGUGCUGGAAGGUUAAGAGGAGGGCUUAGGGGCAACCCGAAGGUCUGAAUUGAAGCCCCAGUAAACGGCGGCCGUAACUAUAACGGUCCUAAGGUAGCGAAAUUCCUUGUCGGGUAAGUUCCGACCCGCACGAAAGGCGCAACGACUUGGGCGCUGUCUCAACGAGAGACCCGGUGAAAUUGUAAUACCUGUGAAGAUGCAGGUUACCCGCGGCUAGACGGAAAGACCCCGUGGAGCUUGACUGCAGCUUGAUAUGGGAGAUGGGUAUGUCAUGUACAGGAUAGGUGGGAGACAGAGAAGCAGGGGCGCAAGCCAAUGUGGAGUCGGUGUUGGGAUACCACCCUUGAGAUGCCAAUCUUCUAACCUGGCGCCAUGAAACUGGCGUGGGGACAGUGUCAGGCGGGCAGUUUGACUGGGGCGGUCGCCUCCAAAAAGGUAACGGAGGCGCCCAAAGGUUCCCUCAGCGCGGAUGGAAAUCGCGCAGUGCGUGUAAAGGCAAAAGGGAGCUUGACUGCGAGACGGACAGGUCGAGCAGGGACGAAAGUCGGGCUUAGUGACCCGGCGGCCCCGAGUGGAAGGGCCGUCGCUCAACGGAUAAAAGCUACCCCGGGGAUAACAGGCUGAUCUCCCCCAAGAGUUCACAUCGACGGGGAGGUUUGGCACCUCGAUGUCGGCUCAUCGCAUCCUGGGGCUGAAGUCGGUCCCAAGGGUUGGGCUGUUCGCCCAUUAAAGCGGUACGCGAGCUGGGUUCAGAACGUCGUGAGACAGUUCGGUCCCUAUCUGCCGCGGGCGCAGGAUACGUGAGAGGAAUCGUCCUUAGUACGAGAGGACCGGGAUGAACAGACCGCUGGUGUCCCAGUUGUUCUGCCAAGAGCAUAGCUGGGUAGCUAAGUCUGGAAGGGAUAAGCGCUGAAAGCAUCUAAGCGCGAAGCCCCCCUCAAGAUAACGUGUCCCAUCCAUUUAUGGAGUAAGACCCCUUGAAGAAGACGAGGUAGAUCGGUCCGGAGUGGAAGCGUAGUGAUACGUGGAGCUGACGGAUACGAAUCGGUCGAGGGCUUCACCAG